AGAGUUUGAUCCUGGCUCAGAUUGAACGCUGGCGGCAUGCCUAACACAUGCAAGUCGCACGCGAAAGGGGGCAACCCCGAGUAGAGUGGCGGACGGGUGCGUAACGCGUAGGAAUAUACCUGGUAGUGGGGGACAACCCGGCGAAAGCCGGGCUAAUACCGCAUACGAUCUACGGAUGAAAGCAGGGGACCGCAAGGCCUUGCGCUAUCAGAUUAGCCUGCGUCGGAUUAGCUAGUUGGUGAGGUAAAGGCUCACCAAGGCAACGAUCCGUAGCUGGUUUGAGAGAACGACCAGCCACACUGGGACUGAGACACGGCCCAGACUCCUACGGGAGGCAGCAGUGGGGAAUAUUGGACAAUGGGGGCAACCCUGAUCCAGCAAUGCCGCGUGUGUGAAGAAGGCCUUCGGGUUGUAAAGCACUUUCGAUGGGGAAAAACAAGCCAGACCUAACACGUCUGGCCCUGAUGGUACCCAGAGAAGAAGCACCGGCUAACUCUGUGCCAGCAGCCGCGGUAAUACAGAGGGUGCAAGCGUUAAUCGGAGUUACUGGGCGUAAAGGGUGCGUAGGUGGUUUGUUAAGUCAGGCGUGAAAUCCCUGGGCUCAACCUGGGAACUGCGUUUGAUACUGGCAGACUCGAGUCUGGUAGAGGGUAGUGGAAUUCCGCAUGUAGCGGUGAAAUGCGUAGAUAUGCGGAGGAACAUCAGUGGCGAAGGCGGCUACCUGGACCAAGACUGACACUGAGGCACGAAAGCGUGGGGAUCAAACAGGAUUAGAUACCCUGGUAGUCCACGCCCUAAACGAUGGGUACUAGACGUUGGGAGGUUUAUCCUCUUGGUGUCGCAGCUAACGCAAUAAGUACCCCGCCUGGGGAGUACGGUCGCAAGAUUAAAACUCAAAGGAAUUGACGG
rnacentral:rRNA from 1 species